rnacentral:lncRNA from 1 species
AAAUGUGAAGAAGUGUUGGUUGUUGAUGAAGAAGUGUUGGUCCCUGCCGCUACCGGGAUUUCACGAUAACGAAACCGAGACUAAAGAGAUGCCAAAGAGAGACAAAGUUAGAAGAGUCGACACCGAAAUUUAUUUAGUUAACCUCCAUCGGAAAGGAGAGGGGAAAUAAUCGAUAAAACCAUCGGAAAGGAGACGCGCACGAGAAGCGGUAAAAGAGAAUAAGGAAUCGGUCUCGCAAUCG